UACGAGUGCCCCAAGCGUUAUCCGGAAUCAUUGGGCGUAAAGGGUGUGUAGGCGGUUGUGUUAGUCUUCCGUUAAAUUCUUCGGCUUAACCGGGGGCAUGCGGAGGAAACGGCACAACUAGAGGAUGCGAGAGGUGAAUGGAACUCAUGGAGUAGGGGUGAAAUCCGUUGAUAUCAUGGGGAACACCAAAAGCGAAGGCAAUUCACUGGCGCACUCCUGACGCUGAGACACGAAAGCGUAGGUAGCGAAUGGG
rnacentral:rRNA from 1 species